UACAGAGGGGGCAAGCGUUAUUCGGAAUUAUUGGGCGUAAAGGGCGUGUAGGCGGUUUGUUAAGUCAUGUGUGAAAUCCCUCGGCUCAACCGGGGAACGACGCAUGAAACUGGCAAGCUAGAGUACCAAAGAGGGGGUGGAAUUCCCGGUGUAGCGGUGAAAUGCGUAGAUAUUAGGAGGAACACCGGUGGCGAAGGCGGCUACCUGGACCGAUGAUUGACGCUGAGACGCGAAAGCGUGGGGAGCAAACAGG
rnacentral:rRNA from 1 species